GGAUGUGAGGGCAAUCUAGCUGCAACAUUUGUCAUCCCAUUGACUGCCACGAUUGAUUCAGCUGAUCUGGCUGGCUACGCAAGUGUCCCCUUCCUCCCUCACCACUCCAUGUGAUGUGCAUCCCUCGUGAAGCUGCGCACUGGGUCAAAGAGGAUGACCAUCCCCGAGAGUAGGACCCAUCUUCAUUAAAGGGUGUACCAGUAUUGGCGCUCCUCUGAUAGAAUCUCCAAACAAAGAGCCAACUUCUCCUGCUAAAUGCCAUGCUGGUUGCAUUCCAGU
ensembl:misc_RNA 7SK 7SK RNA